rnacentral:rRNA from 1 species
AGCGAACGCUGGCGGCGUGCUUAACACAUGCAAGUCGAGCGAAGGUGUUUCAAGGGUAACCUUGAGAUACACUUAGCGGCGGACGGGUGAGUAAUACGUGGAUAACUUACCUCUAGGCCUGGGAUAACCCCGGGAAACUGGGGCUAAUACCUGAUAAGACCACAUUGUCUACGGACAAAGGGGUAAAAGGUGGCUGUGCAAACAGCUAUCGCCAAAAGAUAGGUUCACGUCCCAUCAGGCAGUGGUGAGGUAAUGGCUCACCAAACCAAAGACGGGUAGCCGGCCUUGGCGGGUGAACGGCCACACGGGGACUGAGACACGGCCCCGACUCCUACGGGAGGCAGCAGUGGGGAAGUAUUGGGCAAUGGGCGCAAGCCUGACCCAGCGACGUCGCGUU